UACGUAGGGCGCAAGCGUUGUCCGGAAUUAUUGGGCGUAAAGAGCUCGUAGGCGGUUUGUCGCGUCUGCUGUGAAAACCUAAGGCUCAACCUUGGGCUUGCAGUGGGUACGGGCAGACUAGAGUGCGGUAGGGGUGACUGGAAUUCCUGGUGUAGCGGUGGAAUGCGCAGAUAUCAGGAGGAACACCAGUGGGCGAAGGCGGUUGCCUUGGGGCUUUGCUG
rnacentral:rRNA from 1 species